AGAGUUUGAUCAUGGCUCAGGAUGAACGCUAGCGGCAGGCUUAACACAUGCAAGUCGAGGGGCAGCGCGGGGUAGCAAUACUCUGGCGGCGACCGGCGGAAGGGUGCGUAACGCGUGAGCAACAUGCCCGUGGCAGGGGGAUAAGCGAUGGAAACGUCGUCUAAGACCCCGUAACAACAGGGUUCGCAUGGACUUUGUUUGAAAGCUUCGGCGGCCACGGAUUGGCUCGCGUCCCAUUAGGCAGUUGGCGGGGUAACGGCCCACCAAACCGACGAUGGGUAGGGGUUCUGAGAGGAAGGUCCCCCACAAUGGAACUGAGACACGGUCCAUACUCCUACGGGAGGCAGCAGUGAGGAAUAUUGGUCAAUGGGCGGAAGCCUGAACCAGCCAUGCCGCGUGCAGGAAUAAGGCCCUACGGGUCGUAAACUGCUUUUGUACGGGAGCAAUAAGGGUCACGCGUGGCCCGAUGAGAGUACCGUACGAAUAAGCAUCGGCUAACUCCGUGCCAGCAGCCGCGGUAAUACGGAGGAUGCGAGCGUUAUCCGGAUUCAUUGGGUUUAAAGGGUGCGUAGGCGGCGUGCCAAGUCAGGGGUGAAAGGUUCCGGCUCAACUGGGACAGUGCCUUUGAUACUGGUGUGCUGGAGUGCGCUUGCCGUGGGAGGAAUGAGUGGUGUAGCGGUGAAAUGCUUAGAUAUCACUCAGAACACCGAUUGCGAAGGCAUCUCACGAAGGCGUAACUGACGCUGAGGCACGAAAGCGUGGGGAUCAAACAGGAUUAGAUACCCUGGUAGUCCACGCCGUAAACGAUGAUGACUAACCGCCGGUCCGAUAGGGUCGGUGGCCAAGCGAAAGCGAUAAGUCAUCCACCUGGGGAGUACGACCGCAAGGUUGAAACUCAAAGGAAUUGACGGGGGCCCGCACAAGCGGAGGAACAUGUGGUUUAAUUCGAUGAUACGCGAGGAACCUUACCCGGGCUCGAACGGCAAGUGAAGAGAGACAGAGAUGUUGACGUCCUUCGGGACACUUGUCGAGGUGCUGCAUGGUUGUCGUCAGCUCGUGCCGUGAGGUGUCGGCUCAAGUGCCAUAACGAGCGCAACCCCUGCUUCCAGUUACCAGCACGUAAAGGUGGGGACUCUGGAGGGACUGCCACCGCAAGGUGAGAGGAAGGGGAGGAUGACGUCAAAUCAGCACGGCCCUUACGUCCGGGGCGACACACGUGUUACAAUGGCGGCCACAGAGGGAAGCUACCCUGCGAGGGGAUGCGGAUCUCGAAAAGCCGUCUCAGUUCGGAUCGGAGUCUGCAACUCGACUCCGUGAAGCUGGAUUCGCUAGUAAUCGCGCAUCAGCCAUGGCGCGGUGAAUACGUUCCCGGGCCUUGUACACACCGCCCGUCAAGCCAUGAAAGCCGGGGGCGCCUGAAGUCCGUGACCGCGAGGGUCGGCCUAGGGUGAAACCGGUGAUUGGGGCUAAGUCGUAACAAGGUAACCGUA
rnacentral:rRNA from 1 species